rnacentral:lncRNA from 1 species
GUCGUCUUCCUCCAUCUUUUCCAUCAGAUCAUAAAUAAAUCUAGUACAUUCGCCUAUAUACCUACCUUUAAGAAAUCCUUUUUGUGUUUGACUAAUUAUAUUUACCAGCACCUUUUUUAGUCUAUUUGCUAAACUUGCUGUAGCUAUCUUAUAGUCUACACACAAAAGUGUGAUAGGUCGCCAGUUCUUUAAAUAAAAUUUUGACUUACCCUCCUUUCGUAUACAAGUAAUGAGUCCCUGCCUUUGUGUGAUAGAGAACUUUCCAUAUUCUAAAGCCUCAUUUAAACAUCUUACCAGUGGUAUCUUAAUAUCAUUCCAAAAGAAUUUAUAAAACUCAACAGUAAAUCCAUCUAUACCAGGUGAUUUGGAGUUCUUCAUAAGUUUAAGAGAAGACAAACAUUCCUGCAUUGUUAAAGGUCCCUCACAGGAACCCACCUCUUC